rnacentral:misc_RNA from 1 species
GCUAUGGUUUGCCUGUGCAUCAACUGCGACUUGUCAUUCUGAGAACUUUUUGGGUAUGCUCUGUCCGGUGGCCUGAGAAGUUCAAUAGAGCAAUUUAACCCAAAUCCAGAAUAAUCAUCUUUGUCAGAGAAGAGACUGGUUCUAGGAACCUUAAGAUAGAACUGUCCAUCUAAAUUGGGUGAACGUUGCCCGUUAAGCAAUAACAUCUUGGGAAAGCAGAGAGUAGGAAUAACAGUUGUUUUCAUAUUGUUCAGCAAGGAAAUUUGAGGCCACAGACCAUCUCCGACAUACCUGUACUGAAAACCUUUGCAACCACACGAACUCAAACAUAAUUUUCUGCACAUGUCCAACGUGUAACCGGGAUAGACUUUAUAGUCAUAGCCAUAAAAUUCUACCCGAGGGAGUCUAAUGAAACGAGCCUGAUCC